GCCCCCGUAGCUCAAUGGUAGAGCGCGUCACUAGUAAUAUGUUAAAUGACGAGGUUGACGGUUCGAUUCCGUUCGAGGGCA
rfam:Blumeria graminis f. sp. hordei DH14, WGS project CATH01000000 data, contig: 003481